AUAAACCCAAAGAAUGUGAGGAAUAGUGACAAUUACCGUUCAGAGAGAAGGGCCAUAGCUGGAAGGCCUUUUCGGGAAACGCUAAGGUCGCACAGGAGGGGCAGAGGGGAAUGAAGUACUCUCUGACGGAAAAACCCGUUAGCAAUGCCAAGAGCUGAGGAAACGUUUGUUUCUCAGAAUAAAGGUGGUACCACGGAAGCUUUUCGUCCUUUGC
rnacentral:ncRNA from 1 species